rnacentral:misc_RNA from 1 species
GAUGAAGAACGUAGCGAAAUGCGAUAAGUAAUGUGAAUUGCAGAAUUCAGUGAAUCAUCGAAUCUUUGAACGCACAUUGCGCCCCCUGGUAUUCCGGGGGGCAUGCCUGUUCGAGCGUCAUUUCACCACUCAAGCCUCGCUUGGUAUUGGGCGACGCGGUCCGCCGCGCGCCUCAAAUCGACCGGCUGGGUCUUCCGUCCCCUCAGCGUUGUGGAAACUAUUCGCUAAAGGGUGCCGCGGGAGGUCACGCCGCAAAACAACCCCAUUUCUAAGGUUGACCUCGGAUCAGGUAGGGAUACCCGCUGAACUUAAGCAUAUCAAUAAGCGGAGG